CUUAUUCAUCCUCGACGAAAAUCACUUCAGAUUUAGCAGUUCGAUUUUCCAACCUCGUUUCAGUGAAGGAUUUAAUUCGAUUGUAAAAUCCACAAAAGGUUUUCAUCUGUGUCAUCUAGGUUAGAUUGAUCUACUAGUUGAGAUUAGUCAGUCACCUCACAUUUUGUUGGAAGUUGAUGUAGCCUCAAAGCCAAGGCCAUAAAGAACUUCAUUUCUGCCCAAAUUAAAGUAGACAAAACUUCUUUUACCAUGUGACGCAACAAGGGAAGGAACACGAUAUGAUAUGUCAUUGAUGAAUUCUCAUAUCUGUUUUAGUAUUCUUAAAGAAUGGAAUGACUAACGUCAAUUUCUCGUCUAAGAAAAACUUGCAAUUUUGUUAGAAUUUCAACAAUUCUCAAAGAAUUGCGACAAUUGUGUUAGUGAUGUUAACUUAGAAUGUGAACAUUCUUGAAAGGAAUAUAAGAUGUAUGUAUUUAUGAGGAUUCUGUUCUUGAAAGAAUCAAUUUUUUUGUUAAAAUAUUAUCAUCUUUUACGACA